UAGUGCGUGCGUUCGAUUUCAAGUCUUUAUUUAGUCAGAGAAAAAAUAUGUGUUGCUAGCGAGUUGCGGGAGUCGGCGCGUGGGAAAGUGUUAGUGUAGAAGAGUAUGCAGGUGAGAAAAGAGGCUGCAAAUAUCAAAGUAAGGAAAGGCUGCUCUGAAAUGGAUACGUUACAACCUAGCAGAUCAAUCAAUACGAAUAAUUAAAGAUUCUGAUGUUUUAUCAAGCAACUAAAAAACUUUAAAAAUAAAAGUUGGAUGUUGCACCCUGUUAAAUGAGCUUUACACACUUUCGAAUUCGGUGACUGGAAAAAUUAGAAAACACCUACAACAAGGACUGCAAGAACAAUAGAUUAUCACCUUUGAUAGCAAACGAGAGUUUUUCGUUCGCUCCCACACACUGCUCUGUUACAUCGAAAACACGAAGUGCAUGCUCGAAAGCGCAUGCAACCUGAGCUGCGCAUUAAGUUUCCAACGGCGCAAUACGAAGGACAAUUGACAUGGUGGCGUCUACAAGAAAACUAUUUUAAACAUUAAAUAAUAAAACUUAAUAUCAUCGAUUAAAUAUAUGUAAUGGAAAAAUGAAAGUGCGAAAAGUGUUUCAAUCGAAUUGUAAAAAGAAUUAGUGCGGGCGCGAUAGUAAAAGCGUUUUUUUGUGUGUAAGUAAUUCGAAGCAAAAGUGAGCGUAGUGAUUCGGUAAAGU